UAGGGAAUCUUCGGCAAUGGGGGCAACCCUGACCGAGCAACGCCGCGUGAGUGAAGAAGGUUUUCGGAUCGUAAAGCUCUGUUGUAAGUCAAGAACGAGUGUGAGAGUGGAAAGUUCACACUGUGACGGUAGCUUACCAGAAAGGGACGGCUAACUACGUGCCAGCAGCCGCGGUAAUACGUAGGUCCCGAGCGUUGUCCGGAUUUAUUGGGCGUAAAGCGAGCGCAGGCGGUUUGAUAGGUCUGAAGUUAAAGGCUGUGGCUCAACCAUAGUUCGCUUUGGAAACUGUCAAACUUGAGUGCAGAAGGGGAGAGUGGAAUUCCAUGUGUAGCGGUGAAAUGCGUAGAUAUAUGGAGGAACACCGGUGGCGAAAGCGGCUCUCUGGUCUGUAACUGACGCUGAGGCUCGAAAGCGUGGGGAGCGAACAGGAUUAGAUACCCUGGUAGUCCACGCCGUAAACGAUGAGUGCUAGGUGUUGGGUCCUUUCCGGGAUUCAGUGCCGCAGCUAACGCAUUAAGCACUCCGCCUGGGGAGUACGACCGCAAGGUUG
rnacentral:rRNA from 1 species